rnacentral:rRNA from 1 species
UACGAAGGGGGCUAGCGUUGUUCGGAAUCACUGGGCGUAAAGCGCACGUAGGCGGAUCUUUAAGUCAGGGGUGAAAUCCCGAGGCUCAACCUCGGAACUGCCUUUGAUACUGGGGAUCUCGAGUCCGGGAGAGGUGAGUGGAACUGCGAGUGUAGAGGUGAAAUUCGUAGAUAUUCGGAAGAACACCAGUGGCGAAGGCGGCUCACUGGUCCGGUACUGACGCUGAGGUGCGAAAGCGUGGGGAGCAAACAGG